rnacentral:rRNA from 1 species
AGUGGCGAACUGGUGAGUAACACGUGGAAAACCUGCCCAGAAGCAGGGGAUAACACUUGGAAACAGGUGCUAAUACCGUAUAACAACAAAAACCGCAUGGUUUUUGUUUGAAAGGUGGCUUCGGCUAUCACUUCUGGAUGGUUCCGCGGCGCAUUAGCUAGUUGGUGAGGUAAAGGCCCACCAAGGCAAUGAUGCGUAGCCGACCUGAGAGGGUAAUCGGCCACAUUGGGACUGAGACACGGCCCAGACUCC